AAAUGGAACGCGCCCCACGCGCCAAGAGUUUGGCGUUCUGGGCUCUAGUCGGUGGAUUGCUUGGUGGCCGCCAUGGCCAAUUUCAUGGAUUUCAUUCCUAUCCUUGAUCUGCAUUUGGCGUUCGCGGCAUCGGAUGACGAAUCUCACAGCUUGCUAUUGGUCUUCUCCUGCACCCUUGGAAUGGGUGACCCUGGUGUUUCAAAACUUAGUGUCUUUCGCUUUGUGUUCUUACGGCAACGAGAGAAAAAUGCUAAAGUUAAAUCACGAAUUGCUUAAGAUGUACAGUGAUGAGGAACUUUACUGGGCUCAAAAAGCAAGAGCUAAUUGGCUUAGCUUGGGAGAUAAAAAUACUAUAUUCUUUCAGACUCGAGCUAAUAUAAGGAAGAAAAAGACUUUUGUUACAAAAGUUAAAGAUGAGUCUGGUGUUUGGUUAAAUAGUCAAGAACAUAUUGCUAAAUAUUUUGUGCAUAACUUUAAAAGGAGAUUCUCCUUAGAUCUUUGUCCGAAUAUGAACUCUAUGAUGACUUUUUUGGAUUGUUUGUCUCCUGGUAUCUCUACUGAUGAUAACUCCUUGCUUACUCAACAGGUGAAUGACACUGAAAUUUUGGAAGCUUUAAAUUCAAUUGGCCCCUUGAAAGCACCUGGACGGCUGGACCGGAUGGACUACAUGCCAUAUUCUACCAAAAGUGCUGGACUGAGGAACCAUAAUUCGGGGCUUGUUGGAUUUUCUACUCAAAACCCUCUUGCCAUAAUUAAAUGGCAUCCACCACCCCCGAAUUUUUGCAAAUUAAACUUUGAUGGCUCUGUUAACCAUAUGAACUCGGCUGCUACUGGCUUUAUUAUCAUAGAUGAUAAAGGUCAGUUUGUAGUUGCCGGUGUGAAAAGAGUUGGUUCCUCAAGUAUUCCAACAGUUGAAGUUGCUCCUUUAAGAGAAGGACUUCUAAAAAGCAAGAGAGAAGCACAUCAAGAAGCGUCCUUCGCCGCCUCCUUGGCUUUGGCUAACGGUGGAAAAGUGCCAGAUUUGGGGAAGAUAGGAGGAGGUCCUAAGAUUCAAGUCGCACUUUGGCCGUGCUUGGGUGGUGCAGUGGAAUUUCUGAAUUCAGGAGAGCGUGAUCUCCUCCUCGUCUCCUUCGAAUCUGAGAAGGAUCGAAAAAAAGUUCUAAAGGGUGGCGCAUGGUGCUUUGACCACGUACGUGUUUGUCUUGAGGUGUAUGAUGGGAUUACUCCUAUGGCCGACGUUCUUAUACGUCAUGUGAGGAUGUGGGUGAUCGUCUCUUUGAUCCCCCCUCGGUACGAGGAGUGUGAUAACCUUCGUUUGAUUGGUAACCUUCUUGGAGGAUACUUGGAUUAUGAUCAUACAAUUCAAAAGGGAGUGAUGAAGAUCUUGUUUACCCACGACAUCUAUAAACCAGUUCUUUUAGAGAGGCAGGUUCAUCUGGAUCUAAGGGUGGAGCCGAUGUUAAAGUUUGAUUUUGUACAUCUUCUGGGUAGAUGUUAUGUCUGCAAUAUGAUCACACGUGCUGGAGAAAAGUGUGAUGGAACUCAUACCAUCUUAGGUACAUCCAAAGGCAUUAAUUUUGGUGCUCAGCCAAAACUAGGUUAUGCCUUUUUGGCAAAGCCCAUCGCUGGUUUGGUCGACACAAGUGGGAAUGAUGAGCCUCUUGUGACCCUGAAGAAGAAGUUGGGUGGUCGUCUGGGUAGCAGGAAUAAGGAAUCUCGGUCUACCAAAAAGACAGAGGCUCCUCUGCAUAUUACUUACCUGAUUGCUGCCAAGGUGGGUGACAAGGCAAGCCCUAAUGCCAAGGGCAAGGCCAUAGAGACAUCAAAUUGUGUUCAAAAACCUAUUCUAGUGGUAGAUGAAUACCCUGAUGUAUUUUCAGAAGACUUGUUUGGAGUACCUCUUGAAAGGGAAGUAAAGUUUCACAUUGAUCUUGGUACCUCGAACCACACAAAUAUCAAUGCCUGCUUACGAAUGGCUUUAACAGAAUUAAGAGAGCUCAGAGCACAACUAGAUGAUUUAGAGAAGAAGGGUUUCAUCCGUACAAGUAGUUCACCUUGGGGAGCACCUGUUUUGUUUGCUAGGAAGCAUGAUGGAACAUUGAGGCUAUGUGUGGAUUAUCAAAGGUUGAACAAGGUUACCAUAAAGAACAAGUAUCCAUUACCACAGAUUGAUGAAUUAUUUGACCAACUUUCUAGGGCCAAGUACUUCUCCAAGAUCGACAUGAAAUCAGACUACCAUUAGCUACAAGUUAGAGAAGAGAAUAUUCCUAAGACUACAUUUCAAACACGGUACAAGCAUUUUGGAAUUUGUUGUCAUGCUGUUUGGAAUGACCAAUGCAGCUACAUCAUUCAUAGACCCCAAUGCACCUGCAUCAUUCAUAGACCUCAUGAACUGAAUUUUUCAACCGUACUUAGACCAUUUUGUGAUCGUUUUCAUUGAUGACAUCCUAAUGUAUUCUAAGAUGGCAGAGGAGCAUGAUGAGCAUCUGCGAAUUGUUCUGCAAAAACGUUGCUGGAGAUCCAAUUGUAUGUUAAGAAAUCAAAGUGUGAAUUUUGGUUGUCUGAAGUACGAUUUCUUAGGCAUGUCAUAUCUAGUGAUGGUACAUAUGAUCCUAGUAAGGUGGAGAUAGUUCUAAACUGGAAACGACCAAAGAAUGUCUCUGAGAAGAUAAGUUUCCUUCGAUUAGUCGGAUAUUACCGACGCUUCAUCAACAAUUUUUCUAAGAUUGCUUCUCCAUUGAUUCGUUUAAAUCGAAAAGGAGUAAAAUUCGAGUGAAACGAUAAAUGUGAGUUAGCAUUUGAGGAACUCAAAAAAAGACUGACAACUGCUCCAUUACUUAUCCUACCUAACAAUGAAGAUCCAUUUGAGAUAUACACUAAUGCUUCAGCUCAAGGACUUAGGUCUGUGUUGAUGCAAAGAGAUUUGAACCUGAGGCUGAGGCGAUGGAUGGAAUACUAGAAGGAUUAUGACUUCGACUUUGUUGGGUUUCCAACCCAUAGAAGGAAGGAGGCAUUAUUGCCUACCACUAAUAGGAUUGAAUUUCCUAUUUGGUGA